GAACCUUUUGUUAUUUCUGUUUUUCAUGGAGGAGCUCCCCUCGAAGAGAGCGUAUCAGUUUCUAUGAAUUUUACAAGAACAUUUCAAUACAGUUGUGCUAUUUUCUCUAUUACACUAGUUAGAUCCAUUACAGCCAGCACCCCAGCAACAAAUCACUCCCCCUCAACCCAGCCCCUUCAUGUAUCUCACCCAUGAAACCUUAGAAGAUUUCGUCCUCACCUCUCACCCCAGCCCCUUCCCGUUUCUCAACCACGACCCUCGAUCUCGCUCUCAAAAUCCAUGCGGUGUGUUUAGCCUCUUUUGCAAACUCCAGAUGUUGAACACCAACGCUCACUCCAUACAGAUCUGCCUCCUCACAUCACGGAUGUCAUGGAUUCUCUGAUGAGGGGAAGGACUGUUCUUGUCAUAGCACAUAGGCUUUCAAUAGUCAAAAGUGCACAGUGUUGCUGUUAUAUUACGAGGCCAGGAUGGAACUUACACUGCAUUAGUGAGGAGAAAUUACAGGCCCCAAGUACUGCACUGUAGUUUAAAAUUGUAGAUAAAACUACAGGCAGUGGGAAUGAAUCAAAAUAAUAGGUGAGGUCAAGUUGAUUGAAAUUCCAAUGCCGGCUUCUCCUGCAUGCUUAUUGUGUAGAUCGCAAAGAUGAAGUUCUUGGUCUCAAUUUGUGUUAGCUUGAAAUGUAAAUAGAUUGUUCGGAUCAUAACAUGUAUGCUAUAUGCUGUAUGCGAAGAAUUAUGGCUACUUAUUAAUCUAAACCCAUAUACACCAUCACCUAUUUACACAGGAUAGGUGGUUAUUUAAAUGGCGAAAGAUUUACAAAUAAAUUCCUAUAUUUAAUCA